UUUGCAUAUUUCUUAUCAUGUCCUCUAUAUAAACCCUACAUUCCCAGGCUCCAUCCCACACCUUCAUCCUCUCUCAAUCUCUCACCCGGUGCAGGAUUUUGUAUGUCCUUGAUCUCCAUCGCUCGCUCCUUCAACCAAAACCAGAAAAGGUGAAAAAGAGAUAGAUCAAGAGAAGGACAAACUGUGGAAAUGGGUUCUGAAGCCUUGCAAGCUACUAAGGUAUAUCGCCAACUUCUCAAAGCUGUCAAGAAUCACAUUGGAAAGGAAGACCACAAAAGGCACUUCAGAGACCAUAUAACACAAGAGUUUCAGAAGAACCGUGGACUGCUGGACCUCUCAUCUAUUCAACAAAAAUUAAAGGUUGCCCAUGAUUACACUUAUCUGCUUAACAGUGUGCACCAUCACAAGGAGUUACUGCUCUCUUAUAACAUUGCUGUGGAUAGAUCAGAUGAAAUGAAGAGAAUUCUUGGAAAAUCUGCUUCAAGUGUGGGUCUUCAGCUUCCAGAGGUUUAUCAGCCUUGAUUAGGUGGUAGGUUUCAUGCGCUUAAUCUCACAAAUUUGGUAAAAAAAUUGUCACUGAUGCAGUAAAAUAUUGGAGAGAGGAAUGAAUAGGUUCCUGUUUUUUGUCCUGGUAAUUGUUUUUAGCACAUGUAUUUUCUUUCUUCAGUUCCAUGAUUCCAUCAUCCAUCCUCUGAAUUGUGUAGCUCUCUGGGAACAGGGUCUCGAGUUACCUAACGCUCUCUAUUAGGUUUCUUGGAAUGUAGACAAAAAAUAAUUUGGAAACUUGGGACAUUUUGUGGUUGGUGUGGUGGAAGUUAGAUUCCAAAAAUUUUUCCCUUACAGCCUUGACAGACAAAUGAAGCCCAUUGUUGGAGAAAAGGAAUGAAAUAAAUUAUCGUGUGCUUUCUGAAUUCUCCCCUUUGUUAUAAGUUGCAUGUUGGCUCUUGAAAGGCAUAUCAGCACUCAGCAGAAACGAUUACUUGAUUUUUACUUGAUGCUUGCAACUUCCAUGGUGUGCUCUUUCUUGUAGAUAAUUUCUCCGUCAGACAUAAAGAACCAUGCAGCCCUUAGAAUUGGCAACAAUUGGUGGAAAACUUACUGGGUCUCUAUUACUUAUCCAGCGGAAGUCUAGAGAAAGGAGGAGCACUCUGAUAAGCAAGGAGAUAUGAACAAAGGUAUCAGACAAUUUUUUUUUAUAAGGGGUAAAAUAAGUUGCAGAUCACUUUAAGCAGAAAAGUCUGUAAAAAUCUUCUCUUAACCUCCCUUUAAAGUGGUUAAUAAUACUUCAAUAAUCUAAUAUUUCUAAUAAGACACCUUAUCUUAUUAUAACUAACAAAAAUAAAAAGUAAGAUUUGAAGCAAUAGAUCCAAUAAUUUCAUGUGUACAAGAAAAAAAUAAUAGUAAAAAAAUGAUAAAUUAAGGAAGCCAUUAUUUUAUUUUUAUAUUUUAUAUUUAGUUUUAAUCUUUAUUUAUUUAUUUCAUGAUAUGAAGGCACGACAGGAUUGGUAUAUUUUGCCUUUUUUAUUUUUUUAUUUUUUGCGAUAAGGAGAAUAAAUAAGUAAAAACAAAAUGGUAUUUGUCUGGUUGGUGGGAAAUGGACCCAUGACAGAGACCGCCAAAUAUUUUCCAAAUGAUGUGUGAAGAUUGAGGGAGAAUUCAAAGAACGCGAGUCAAGAGGAAGAGAAAGCAGGAGGCAGGACGUGCAGGUGUCAAGACACCUCCCUUACGUGUCCUCACCGAUUCCUGAACCCCCUCACUAUCAAACACCUGUCCUCCCUCAAUAACUGUCUUCUUCCCAUGCCCUCCAUCCCCCUUCAAUCUCAAAUCCUCAAUUCCAUUCCAACCGACCGACAUUUUAACCUACAAGCUACAAUCAUAAUGGGUUCAGAGACAUUCCUAGAAAUCAUCCUCGCCAUCCUCCUCCCUCCUGUCGGCGUCUUCCUCCGCUAUGGCUGUGGAAUAGAGUUCUGGAUAGACUUGUUGCUGACAAUCUUGGGAUAUAUACCUGGGAUUAUAUACGCAAUUUAUGUGUUGGUUGGGUAGUGGAAGAUGAAUGUUUACAAAGAUUAUAUGUAGCUACAUUUGGGCGUGUCCCCCCUUCUCUUUUGUUGUUCUAAUCUAGCAGAUAUCAGACCACUAUGAUUUGUUUAUCCUUUUGUCUUAAUUUAAUCACCAUUUCUUC